GGGGGGUGCAAGCGUUAUUCGGAAUCACUGGGCGUAAAGAGCGCGUAGGCGGUCUCUUAAGUCAGAUGUGAAAGCCCGGGGCUCAACCCCGGAAGUGCAUUUGAAACGAAGGGACUUGAGUAUGGGAGAGGGAAGUGGAAUUCCUGGUGUAGCGGUGAAAUGCGUAGAUAUCAGGAGGAACACCGGUGGCGAUGGCGACUUCCUGGACCAAUACUGACGCUGAGGCGCGAAGGCGUGGGGAGCAAACAGGAUUAGAUACCCUGGUAGUCCACGCAGUAAACGUUGAACACUAGGUGUAGCGGGUAUUGACCCCCUGCUGUGCCGCAGCUAACGCAUUAAGUGUUCCGCCUGGGGAGUACGGCCGCAAGGCUAA
rnacentral:rRNA from 1 species